GGAAUAUUGGACAAUGGGCGCAAGCCUGAUCCAGCCAUGCCGCGUGAGUGAUGAAGGCCUUAGGGUUGUAAAGCUCUUUCAGUGGGGAAGAUAAUGACGGUACCCACAGAAGAAGCCCCGGCUAACUUCGUGCCAGCAGCCGCGGUAAUACGAAGGGGGCUAGCGUUGUUCGGAUUUACUGGGCGUAAAGCGCACGUAGGCGGAUUGGUAAGUUAGAGGUGAAAUCCCAGAGCUCAACUCUGGAACUGCCUUUAAUACUGCCAGUCUAGAGUCCGGAAGAGGUAAGUGGAACUCCUAGUGUAGAGGUGGAAUUCGUAGAUAUUAGGAAGAACACCAGUGGCGAAGGCGGCUUACUGGUCCGGUACUGACGCUGAGGUGCGAAAGCGUGGGGAGCAAACAGGAUUAGAUACCCGGG
rnacentral:rRNA from 1 species